rnacentral:SRP_RNA from 1 species
GGAAGCUGAGGUGGGAGGAUCCCUUGAGUCCAGGAGUUCUGGGCUGUAGUGCGCUAUGCCGAUCGGGUGUCCGCACUAAGUUCGGCAUCAAUAUGGUGACCUCCCGGGAGCGGGGGACCACCAGGUUGCCUAAGGAGGGGUGAACCGGCCCAGGUCGGAAACGGAGCAGGUCAAAACUCCCGUGCUGAUCAGUAGUGGGAUCGCGCCUGUGAAUAGCCACUGCACUCCAGCCUGGGCAACAUAGCGAGACCCCGUCUCU